UUGAUGUCAACAAAUAUUGGUUGAGCAUCUGUUAUGGGUUAGGGAUGGAGCUACAGGUAAGGGCGGUUCAAAAACGAGACACACUGCUUGCCUUUUAGGAGCUCACAGUCCAGGGGAAGGGACAGUCAGGAAACCAGGAAACCAGGCAACCACCAUAUAUAUACAAAGGGAUGGCUCUAAGGUGCUCUCUUCCGUGUGUCAGAUGAGGACUCCCUUCACAUUUGGCUGUCAUCUAUCAGCCACAACUGUCCUGUCCCGAAGAGCUGGCUUUGGCUUUAAAGCCUGCUUCCUGGCUGGGCUUCUCCACCACUCCAUUAAGGAUACCAUUUGAUACCACAUGUGCUACAGGUGCUGUUGAUGAAAGUGCUAAAGGAGCUGGAUGGGACUGACGUCUUUGGGAAGGGUAAGACUCAGGGUGCGCAUGCAGCUGUCCUGUCCAAGUGCUGUUCUUACCUCCCAAGGGAAAGCUGAACGAGGGCCAUGCUUGGGACAACACCAGCAGAGCCUUCCAGCAGACAGGCCAGGGAGGAAGCCAGGGUCAGCGAGUGAAGAAGAGAGCAGCGCCAUUUAAAGCAACAUGGUUUAUUAAUAACGGAAACUACAUGUUAUUUGGCAGCCCCAAAGGAAUCACAUGUCUGAUGUAGUGGAAGGACAGUGCCCUAAAAGAAAGGGUGGCAUGCUGGACAGCCAAAGGAACAAACGUCCACUACACGUAAUGUGAGCACCACGUUUGGAUGCGAUCCAUCUCUGUAGGAGACUGGCGGCAAUUCAC